rnacentral:rRNA from 1 species
AGCGAACGCUGGCGGCAGGCUUAACACAUGCAAGUCGAGCGGACCUUUCGGGGUCAGCGGCGGACGGGUGAGUAACGCGUGGGAACGUGCCUUCCGGUUCGGAAUAACCCUGGGAAACUAGGGCUAAUACCGGAUACGCCCUUAUGGGGAAAGGUUUACUGCCGGAAGAUCGGCCCGCGUCUGAUUAGCUAGUUGGUGGGGUAACGGCCUACCAAGGCGACGAUCAGUGGCUGGUCUGAGAGGAUGAUCAGCCACACUGGGACUGAGACACGGCCCAGACUCCUACGGGAGGCAGCAGUGGGGAAUAUUGGACAAUGGGCGCAAGCCUGAUCCAGCCAUGCCGCGUGAGUGAUGAAGGCCUUAGGGUUGUAAAGCUCUUUUAUCCGGGACGAUAAUGACGGUACCGGAGGAAUAAGCCCCGGCUAACUUCGUG